rnacentral:rRNA from 1 species
GUAGUCUCGCACAGAUGCAUAUCAAUAAGCGGAGGAAAAGAAACUAACAAGGAUUCCCCUAGUAACGGCGAGUGAAGCGGGAAGAGCUCAAAUUUGAAAUCUUAAAGGGUUUCCCUUUACGAAUUGUAGUUUAAAGAAGUGUUUUCUGUUGAGGUUUUGGUAAAAGUUCUUUGGAAUAGGACACUCAUAGAGGGUGAGAAUCCCGUAUUUGACCUUUACUUUCAACUUUGUGAUACACUUUCAAAGAGUCGGAUUGUUUGGGAAUGCAGUCCAAAAUGGGUGGUAAAUUUCAUCUAAAGCUAAAUAUUGGCGAGAGACCGAUAGCGAACAAGUACCGUGAGGGAAAGAUGAAAAGAACUUUGAAAAGAGAGUUAAACAGUACGUGAAAUUGUCAAAAGGGAAGCGUUUGACACCAGUGUUGUUUUUCUGAAAAUCAAUUAAAGAACUGUUUAUGCUAAGCUGUUUAGACUUUAUCAGCUAUCUGUUUAGUUUUGAGCUUUUCUUUAAUGCACUUUUCAGUUAACAAGUCAACAUCAAUUUCUUUUGCUGUAAAAAAGCUUGAGGAAGGUGGCUUGAGAUUCGUCUUAAGUGUUUAUAGCCUCUUGCCUAUGCAGUCGGAGAGAUUGAGGUCUGCAGCGUAGAUCCUUCGGGGCUAAAUGCAUUUGUGCUAAGUUAUAGCAUUUUAUAGACAACUUGUUGACUAUGAUUUGUCUUGUAGCUUACUCGCUUAUGUUAUUUUACCUACGCUUAGGAUGUUGAUCUGUAGUGCGUGCGC